AAUCGAGCAGAGCAACAGGGAUUGCCCUAGUAACGGCGAGUGAAGCGGCAACAGCUCAAAUUUGAAAUCUGGCCCUCGGGUCCGAGUUGUAAUUUGUAGAGGAUGCUUUUGGCGCGGUGCCUUCCGAGUUCUCUGGAACGAGACGCCUUAGAGGGUGAGAGCCCCGUACGGUUGGACACCAAGCCUCUGUAAAGCUCCUUCGACGAGUCGAGUAGUUUGGGAAUGCUGCUCUAAAUAGGAGGUAAAUUUCUUCUAAAGCUAAAUAUUGGCCAGAGACCGAUAGCGCACAAGUAGAGUGAUCGAAAGAUGAAAAGCACUUUGAAAAGAGGGUUAAAUAGCACGUGAAAUUGUUGAAAGGGAAGCGUUUGCGACCAGACCUUUUCCUGGCGGAUCAUCCGGUGUUCUCACCGGUGCACUUCGCCUGGUUUAGGCCAGCAUCGGUUUCUGUAGGGGGAUAAAAGCUCUGGGAACGUAGCUCCCUCGGGAGUGUUAUAGCCCUCUGCAUAAUACCCUUACGGGGACCGAGGACCGCGCUUUAUGCAAGGAUGCUGGCGUAAUGGUCGUCAACGACCCGUCUUGAAACACGGACCAAGGAGUCGAACAUUUGUGCGAGUGUUUGGGUGUUAAACCCUCACGCGUAAUGAAGGUGAACGUAGGUGAGAGCCCUUACGGGUGCAUCAUCGACCGAUCCUGAUGUCUUCGGAUGGAUUUGAGUAAGAGCAUAACUGUUCGGACCCGAAAGAUGGUGAACUAUGCGUGGAUAGGGUGAAGCCAGAGGAAACUCUGGUGGAGGCUCGCAGCGGUUCUGACGUGCAAAUCGAUCGUCAAAUCUGCGCAUGGGGGCGAAAGACUUAUCGAACCAUCUAGUAGCUGGUACGCGGU
rnacentral:rRNA from 1 species